rnacentral:rRNA from 1 species
AUGGCCUCCGACUACCUCAGCGCGCUCAGGGCCUUCGACGACACCAAGGCCGGCGUCAAGGGCCUCGUCGACGCCGGCGCCACGGCCAUCCCGGCCAUCUUCCACCACCCACCCGACGCCUUCGCCCCGUCCACUGUCGCCACCGACGUCGCCGUCCCGGAGACGGCCAUGUCGGGGAUGCUGGCAGCGGUGCGGCGCUUCAACGAGGAGCCGGCAGAGGCCAAGGCGCCGUACUACACGCGUGACGCGGCGAGGCGCGUGAGGUACAGCUGCAACGCGGACCUCUUCCAGACGCUGGUGGGCAAGUGGCGCGACACCAUCUACAUGGACGACGUGGACCGGCCGGCGGCGGGCGAGGACGAGGACCUCCUCCCGUCGGCGUUGAGGGGCGUCGCGACGGAGUACACGGGGCAGAUGCGGCGGCUGGGGCGCACCCUCUUCGAGCUGCUGUCGGAGGCCCUGGGGCUGCGUCCUGGGUACCUGGAGGAGGAGGCCGGCUGCAUGGAGGCGCUGAGCGUGGCCGGCCACUACUACCCGGCGUGCCCGGAGCCGCACCUCACGAUGGGCACCGUCCCGCACUCCGACCCCAGCUUCCUCACCGUGCUGCUCCAGGACGGCGUCGGCGGCCUCCAGGUGCUCGUGGACGACCUCGAGGACGGCAGCAAGCCUGCGGCAUGGGUGGACGUGCCGGCGAUGGGGGAGGCGUCGCUGGUGGUGAACGUCGGCGACUUCCUGCAGCUGGUGUCCAACGACAGGUUCAAGAGCCCGGUGCACCGCGUGGUGUCCAAGAGCGUGGGGCCCCGGGUGUCGGUGGCGUGCUUCUUCAGGGCGAACGGCGCGACGGUGUGCGCCCCGGUGGUCGUCGACGGGAGCGGCCCGCCGCGGUACAGGAGCUGGCUAGCAUCCGUCCGCGGAGGAGAUGCUCUGCGUGUCCAACACACAGACACGGCUCAACAACUUGAGGCUCUAGCUAGCUAG